rnacentral:sRNA from 1 species
UAGCUGGAAGUGAAGGUGGUUGUGUGU